UAGGGAAUCUUCGGCAAUGGACGCAAGUCUGACCGAGCAACGCCGCGUGAGUGAAGAAGGUUUUCGGAUCGUAAAACUCUGUUGUUAGAGAAGAACAAGGAUGAGAGUAGAAUGUUCAUCCCUUGACGGUAUCUAACCAGAAAGCCACGGCUAACUACGUGCCAGCAGCCGCGGUAAUACGUAGGUGACAAGCGUUGUCCGGAUUUAUUGGGCGUAAAGCGAGCGCAGGCGGUUUCUUAAGUCUGAUGUGAAAGCCCCCGGCUCAACCGGGGAGGGUCAUUGGAAACUGGGAAACUUGAGUGCAGAAGAGGAGAGUGGAAUUCCAUGUGUAGCGGUGAAAUGCGUAGAUAUAUGGAGGAACACCAGUGGCGAAGGCGGCUCUCUGGUCUGUAACUGACGCUGAGGCUCGAAAGCGUGGGGAGCAAACAGG
rnacentral:rRNA from 1 species